AUUUUUGUGCAGUGGCAGCAUCAUAGUCAGUGAGACUUAUCUGAGGCACAAUUAUUGCUACUUGAAGAAAAAAAAAGUUCAGAGGUGUUGAGUCAAUACAGCUGAAUAGGCUGGGUUUCCCCUAGACAGACAAGGAA
rnacentral:snRNA from 1 species